AGUCUGGGCCCAAAUGUUUGCCUAUAUUGCAGUGAUCAAGCUCUGUCUCUUGAUUUCCUGUCUGCAGUACAGGGAUAAAGAAAGCAGAUGAUGAUGUGAGAUGGAGCCUCCCUUGGCCUGACCUUGGGAUUGCUGAAUAGCUCAUGACUGGCAAAAUCCUGGAUUGAGUUCAGUUGGAUUUUAUGAGGCAAUCUGUUGAAGUCCACAGAGAACUGAAUGCAAAGCAUGCCCUUGCCUCUUACACAAAGGCUUUCUUCUCUUCACAGUUUCAAGUGCCACCAAUGACUACUGGGAGCAGACCUCUCCUUCCACCAGCAAGAAGCCCACGACCAAGCUGAUGUGAGCAGUCAGAGCUGGAGAGUGGCCACGGACCGGCUGCAGGGCCCCAGCAGCCCUGGCUAUUUCUGGCUUUGUGACCGGCUGAGUGAGCACGAUUAGGUCGCUCACAGAGGCAGGGCCAAAAAGUUUUGCCAGCACAAAUCACCUGCAUUACAUCCCACGAGGGGCUUGCUGUGCCUUCACAGAGGAUUUG
rnacentral:lncRNA from 1 species